rnacentral:rRNA from 1 species
GAGUUUGAUCCUGGCUCAGAACGAACGCUGGCGGCAGGCCUAACACAUGCAAGUCGAGCGCGCCUUCGGGUGAGCGGCGGACGGGUUAGUAACGCGUGGGAACGUGCCCUUCUCUACGGAAUAGCCUCUGGAAACGGAGAGUAAUACCGUAUACGCCCUUUGGGGGAAAGAUUUAUCGGAGAAGGAUCGGCCCGCGUUAGAUUAGGUAGUUGGUGGGGUAAUGGCCUACCAAGCCUACGAUCUAUAGCUGGUUUUAGAGGAUGAUCAGCAACACUGGGACUGAGACACGGCCCAGACUCCUACGGGAGGCAGCAGUGGGGAAUCUUAGACAAUGGGGGCAACCCUGAUCUAGCCAUGCCGCGUGAGUGAUGAAGGCCUUAGGGUCGUAAAGCUCUUUCGCCUGUGAUGAUAAUGACAGUAGCAGGUAAAGAAACCCCGGCUAACUCCGUGCCAGCAGCCGCGGUAAUACGGAGGGGGUUAGCGUUGUUCGGAAUUACUGGGCGUAAAGCGCGCGUAGGCGGAUUAGAAAGUUGGGGGUGAAAUCCCGGGGCUCAACCUCGGAACUGCCUCCAAAACUGCUAGUCUAGAGUUCGAGAGAGGUGAGUGGAAUUCCGAGUGUAGAGGUGAAAUUCGUAGAUAUUCGGAGGAACACCAGUGGCGAAGGCGGCUCACUGGCUCGAUACUGACGCUGAGGUGCGAAAGUGUGGGGAGCAAACAGGAUUAGAUACCCUGGUAGUCCACACCGUAAACGAUGAAUGCCAGUCGUCGGGUAGUAUACUAUUCGGUGACACACCUAACGGAUUAAGCAUUCCGCCUGGGGAGUACGGUCGCAAGAUUAAAACUCAAAGGAAUUGACGGGGCCCGCACAAGCGGUGGAGCAUGUGGGUUUAAUUCGAAGCAACGCGCAGAACCUUACCAACCCUUGACAUCCUCGGACCGCCAGAG